AUGAAUUUGAGGCUGAGCUGGGCUUUCAUUUUGACCAUUUUACAUGGUGUACAAUGUGAGGUGAAGCUUGUGGAGUCUGGGGGAGAUCUAAGACAACCUGGACAGUCUCUGAGACUCUCCUGUGAAGGCUCUGGAUUCACCUUCAGUAAUCACUAUAUAUACUGGAUCCGCCAAUAUCCAGGAAACAAAUUGGAGUGGGUCAGCUUUAUUAGAAACAAAGCUAAUGGUGGAACACAAGAAUAUGCUGCAUCUGUGAAAGACAGAUUCACCAUCUCAAGAGAUGAUUCCAGAAACAUUGCCUUUUUGCAAAUGACUGGACUGAAACCUGAGGACACAGCCAUGUAUUACUGUGCAAGAGACACAGUGAAGAGAAGUCAGUGUAAGCCUAUACACAAACCUACCCUUUAUGGAGGUUAUGGGGCUGAAAGGAGUGUUCAGGACCCAGCACACACAAAGACUAGUUCUAGGAACAGAUCUGAAUCUGAGAAGGUGUUUCCUGUUGGAGGUUGCAGUUUUCCUUUCACUUAA